GACAGAGGGUGCAAACGUUUGUUCGGAAUUACUGGGCGUAAAGCGCGUGUAGGCUGCUCUGCAAGUCGGAUGUGAAGACCCUCGGGCUCAACCUAGGAAGUGCAUUCGAAACUGCGGAGCUGAGUCCUGGAGAGGAAGGACGGAAUUCUCGGUGUAGAGGUGAAAUUCGUAGAUAUCGAGAGGAACACCGGUGGCGAAGGCGGCCUUCUGGACAGUGACUGACGCUGAGACGCGAAAGCGUGGGGAGCAAACAGG
rnacentral:rRNA from 1 species